GCCUAUCACCAGACCACCCUGAACGCACCUGUUCUGGUCUGAUCGUGGAAGCUAAGCAGGGUCGGGCCUGGUUGGUACUUGGAUGGGAGAAUAACAUUUUCAAAGACAAGCUAUGUUAAAGGGG
rnacentral:rRNA from 1 species